UAUUUUUGUUGCGCAAAUGGUCUCCAUCCUGUUUCGGCUCAGCCGGCACAGGAUGGGUGAAAAGGGAAACCGGUGCAAAUCCGGUGCUAUCCCCGUAGCUGUAAGUUCUAUUCGUGAAUGGUGAAUGGUGAAUGGCUCGCAAAUUUUGAAAAUUGAUUUGCGACAUUGCGCCGCCCCAAAUUUAUUGCCGAUUGCCGAUUCACGACUGUUGAAACUCCAUACCACUGUUGAUGAUGGCCGAAUGCCUUAUCGAUGGGAAGGUUUGAAAACAGUGAACAAGCCAGAAGACCUGCCACUUGCAAAAUAUAGCA
rnacentral:ncRNA from 1 species